rnacentral:rRNA from 1 species
GACGAACGCUGGCGGCGUGCUUAACACAUGCAAGUGGAGCGACGAACCGGGGCUUGCCCCGGGGCAGAGCCGCGAACGGGUGAGUAACACGUGGGUAACCCACCCCGAUGAUUGGGACAACCCGGGGAAACUCGGGCUAAUACCAAAUGUGCUCAAGGACCAUGAGGUCUCUGAGUAAAGAUAGCUUCGGCCUUCGCAUCGGGACGGGCCCGCGGCCCAUUAGCUUGUUGGUGAGGUAACGGCUCACCAAGGCUGCGAUGGGUAGCUGGUCUGAGAGGACGAUCAGCCACACUGGGACUGAGACACGGCCCAGACUCCUACGGGAGGGCAGCAGUGGGGAAUCUUGCGCAAUGCGCGAAAGCGUGACGCAGCAACGCCGCGUGGAGGAAGACGGUCUUCGGA